rnacentral:rRNA from 1 species
GUGAGGAAUAUUGGACAAUGGGCGCAAGCCUGAUCCAGCCAUGCCGCGUGCAGGAAGACGCAUCUAUGGUGUGUAAACUGCUUUUGUACGGGAAGAAACACUCCCUCGUGAGGGAGCUUGACGGUACCGUAAGAAUAAGGAUCGGCUAACUCCGUGCCAGCAGCCGCGGUAAUACGGAGGAUCCAAGCGUUAUCCGGAAUCAUUGGGUUUAAAGGGUCCGUAGGCGGUUUAAUAAGUCAGUGGUGAAAGCCCAUCGCUCAACGAUGGAACAGCCAUUGAUACUGUUAGACUUGAAUUACAAGGAAGUAACUAGAAUAUGUAGUGUAGCGGUGAAAUGCUUAGAUAUUACAUGGAAUACCAAUUGCGAAGGCAGGUUACUACUUGUGGAUUGACGCUGAUUGACGAAAGCGUGGGGAGCGAACAGGAUUAGAAACCCCGGUAGUCC